rnacentral:rRNA from 1 species
GAUGAACGCUGGCGGCGUGCCUAAUACAUGCAAGUCGAGCGAACAGAUAAGGAGCUUGCUCCUUUGACGUUAGCGGCGGACGGGUGAGUAACACGUGGAUAACCUACCUAUAAGACUGGGAUAACUUCGGGAAACCGGAGCUAAUACCGGAUAACAUAUUGAACCGCAUGGUUCAAUAGUGAAAGGCGGCUUUGCUGUCACUUAUAGAUGGAUCCGCGCCGUAUUAGCUAGUUGGUAAGGUAACGGCUUACCAAGGCAACGAUACGUAGCCGACCUGAGAGGGUGAUCGGCCACACUGGAACUGAGACACGGUCCAGACUCCUACGGGAGGCAGCAGUAGGGAAUCUUCCGCAAUGGGCGAAAGCCUGACGGAGCAACGCCGCGUGAGUGAUGAAGGUCUUCUGAUCGUAAAACUCUGUUAUCAGGGAAGAACAAAUGUGUAAGUAACUGUGCACAUCUUGACGGUACCUGAUCAGAAAGCCACGGCUAACUACGUG